rnacentral:lncRNA from 1 species
CAUGCUGCCGUCCUUAACGUGGAGUCCGGGGGAUGGGGACGCGGGGAGCUGGACGGGAGCGUGAGGUGUGAAGGCUCUGCGACUGGAGGUGCCCUCUGCAUGCAUGCAGGAAAAAACCCCGGGGAGGCGCUCUAGAUACUGAUACAACAAGUUCUUCAGUCUGACUGCAGUGGCACGCUGUCCGAGGGUCAAGACUGCUUUCCGGGAGUCUCAUGCGCCACUGAAGUUCUGCAUCAUCCGAUGGGAUAGCCAGCUAACUUGUAUGCAAAGAGGAACCUCGGAGGUGGGGAUUCCUACCAGAUACCACAGCUGAUUGCCAGGAGCCACCUGAGAAUGCUGCAGUGGGAUCCUAAUGAGCCCCAUACUGCCACCAUUGGCAGACCUCUGGCUCUCCAUCCACAGAGAGGGAAGCGUUUCAUUAUUCCUGCUGCAGGUACCACAGAUCGAGAAAUGUGGAUGCCGGUCCCCUCGCUACCCAGAGCCCUGGGAGCAGAGCGGACCUACCUGCAGAGCAUUCCCCAAACCAGCACAGACGCUACACCCAAUGUGGCCCGCCUGUGGAGCUCCGGAGCAAGGAGCGCCAGGCCACACGUGGACCUGCUGGGCCGAGCCGCUGUGGGCGCUCCCCUGGCAGUGUCUUAGCUGGUUGUUGUGAGGAUUGACAGCAAAGCAAUCAGCAAGUAUACUGCCACAGGAACGCCGCACCCUGAGGGGCCUGCCGCACCUCGAGGGUCCCGCCGCACCAUACAUCACUGAGACAACAGGCACAAGGUAUAGGCUCCGUUUGCUGCUCUACCUGCAACACAGCUGACAAGAAUAAAUAUUCUAUCCCUGGUGAGGAAGAGCGAUAA